GAUGAACGCUAGCGGCAGGCCUAAUACAUGCAAGUCGAACGGUAUCCCGCUUUCGGGCGGGAGAGAGUGGCGCACGGGUGCGUAACGCGUAUGCAACCUGCCCCUUACCGGGGGAUAGCCCGGGGAAACCCGGAUUAAUACCCCAUGGCACCUUUUUCCGGCAUCGGGAGGAGGUUAAAGAUUUAUCGGUAGGGGAUGGACAUGCGUAGGAUUAGCUGGUUGGUGGUGUAACGGACCACCAAGGCGAUGAUCCUUAGGGGUUCUGAGAGGAAGGUCCCCCACACUGGAACUGAGACACGGGCCAGACUCCUACGGGAGGCAGCAGUAGGGAAUAUUGGGCAAUGGGCGUGAGCCUGACCCAGCCAUGCCGCGUGCAGGAAGACGGCGUUCUGCGUUGUAAACUGCUUUUAUACGGGAAGAAAAGGCCCAUGCGUGGGACAUUGCCGGUACCGUAUGAAUAAGCACUGGCUAACUCCGUGCCAGCCGCCGCCGUAA
rnacentral:rRNA from 1 species